rnacentral:lncRNA from 1 species
AGGAGGGGGGCGUACAAGUACAACGCCGAGAGAAGAUCAGGGGUCUCUUCUUGUCCCUGAAGCUGACAGGGUGCGUGUAGGGUUAGGUGCUAAUAAUGAGGAAGGGCAACAACCUCAGCAAGUUCGUAGAGACUUGCGGAGACUAAGAGGAAGGCAGGCGUUGCUUGAUUUGCUCACGAGAGCUGAGAGAGAGAGGCAGCGGGAACUUCAGGGCUUGUUGGAGCAUCGUGCAGUGUCUGAUUUUGCUCACCGUAACCGGAUUCAGGUUGGGUUUUUCAAAUUAUUAGAUUCGUAUUUGUAUCAGUAUCUUAGCACCGCAGCUGAUCGUUGAUUGAUUUCUAAUGCUUUAAAGCUUUUCUGCAGUCGCUUCUUAGAGGAAGAUUUUUAAGGAACGAGAGGCCUGCAGAUCAAGAGAGAACUCCAUCAACGGCUUCUAGGGAACUUCUUCAGCUAAGAGAAAGACAGACCGUCUCUGGUUUGAGGUAAGAGUUCCUUUUACUUAUUACAAUGGUUAAAACAAUGAUCUCAUGCAGCUUCAUCCAGCGGCAAGACUCCAGCUCAAUAGAAUAAAAUUAAUCUCAUCACAAUAACAUAAUUGUACUAGAAACUCGUAAAGGACGACUAUACAAUGUCUGCAUCUUAUUGAAGAUAACGUAUAAAUAAUUUAGUCCUCUUUAUCUUUCUGAUCUUUUGUUGUGUUCUUGCUUGUCCUUUCAUCUUAUAUGAUUACACAAAACACUUUUGGCAUUUAGCUUGCUCGUUAAUAAUUGGCCAAACGUCGCUUUGAUUUUGUCACAGGGAGGGGUUCCAUAACGGGAGGGAAAGUAUUGUCCGUGAAAAUAGUAGCGACACUGAUAGUAAUAGCACAAUUGCUCUAGCAACUGAUGCCACCGCUGAGAAUUCUCAGCAUAUAACCGAUGAUAGUUCAGCAACUUCUUCUAGACAAGGGAAUAAUAGUCCCCUCCCGCAUGAUGACUCGGUUAGGUCGGAAAGCAACCUAGCAAAUGAAGAUAGAGAUUGGGAAGAGGAUACCAAUCAAAGAAGGGUUUGGCAGGAAGAUGUCACAGCAGACGAGAGGCUAAAUCUGCAGCAAACAACGUUGACCCAAUCUAGUGAUUGGGGAAAUGGUAACGCAGAUAUAAACCAUGAUGAGACUUCCGUCAGUGACCUACACCGAGAAGCCUCUGGAAUUACAGAUGAUGAAGAUCACACACAAGAAGGUCAUGGUGUUUGGCAUGAGGAUGUCCCUAGACAAUCAAAUGGUAAUUGGAAUGAGACACGGCCAGAAGCCCCAAGGACUCGCCGUGUAGUACCAUUGAGAAGAUUAAGUAGGUUUCAUCCACCUGAGGAUGACAAUGUUUACAGCAUGGAACUCAGGGAGCUCCUAGGCAGGUACUAAAGGUGGAUUUGUUUUAUUUCUGUAGUACUUACUUUGUUUUCUGUUAGUGUAAUGAUUUCUACUGUCUUCCCUGUUUGUAGGAGAAGUGUUUCUAAUCUACUACAUAGUGGAUUCCGUGAAAGUCUGGAUCAACUGAUACAAUCAUAUGCUGAAAGGAGAGUUCACACUCAUGAUGACUGGGAUCUGCACGAUAACCUGCAAACAGCAAUCCCAGAUUCUCCAGAGCGUGACAGAGACCACCAAGUAUUUGUACAGAACGAUAAUCAGCUUAAUGACAUCAAUGGUCCACAAAUGCUUCCCACCCCACCCGUGCCACCACCUCAGCCAAUAUGGCACCACUCUAGCUGGUCUCGCCACUCUAUGCAUCGGUCUGAAAUGGUAAGCUUUUCAUCUAGGGGAUUUAGCAUUGAACGUGUAACUGAUUAAUAAAUUAUCUCGAUUGAAAAUCAUAAGACUGUUCUUCUUGAAUUAGGAAUGGGAGGUAAUGAACGACCUAAGAGGAGACGUAGCAAGACUGCAGCAGGGAAUGAGCCAGAUGCAGAGGAUGCUCGAAGCCUGCAUGGAUAUGCAAUUAGAGCUGCAGCGUUCGGUUAGACAAGAAGUCUCUGCAGCUUUAAACCGAUCUGCAGGUGACCAAGGUCAGUGGCUAGUCUAUCCAACGAACUUUAAUUUGUUUCUCCGUGUACUGAUCUUUUAUACAUAGUAUUUAAGAAAAUGAAUGAUGCAGCAGGUAUGAGUGCGGAAACAUCAGAAGAUGGAUCAAGAUGGAUCCAUGUAAGGAAAGGGACUUGUUGCGUUUGCUGUGACAACCACAUUGAUGCUCUCUUGUAUAGGUAACUAAAUAUUUACUGUACAUAUUUUGCUUGUUCUCUCUCUCAGAAAUGAGAAAUGUUCUGAAUGUUGCAGAUGUGGGCACAUGUGUACUUGCUCACAAUGUGCGAACGAGCUUGUAAGAAACGGAGGGAAAUGUCCGCUUUGUAGAGCACCAAUCAUGGAGGUAAUCAGAGCCUACUCCAUUUUAUAAUUGGAAGGCGAGAAGAAGGUACAUAGAAGGCAUGAAGCAGCAUAAAGGAAAGUCAGAGUGAGAAACAUGUUCGAUUUUGAGGUUAAAGAUUUAUAUGUAUGUAGUUGUAGUUCCUUUCUCAAAUCCAAAUUUGAUGUGUACAGUUCUAAAUUAAACAAAAUUAAAUUACCCAAAAAAAAGUAAGAAAUGAAACAUCUGAUUUUACUUGACUGGGCCGAAAUUUGACUGGGCCUCAUGUAACUUAGCCCAAAGUAUACGGGUCUGUCUUGCGCUGAUUAAGGGAAAAAUAAGCUAAACCAUCUGGUUCUUCGACUUGACCGGUUUGCCGUGGACCGCAGUUAAUAUUUUUUUUAAUGGUAAAGACAAGUGGUGAAAUUGUGAUUGCCCAAUUUAAACGUGUAGACAUGGAUCCUCUUUGGCGAUAGUGCCAUUCAAUACUUUCUAUUUCAAUGCCAUUUAUAUGUUGGUGAGCUGUAUCCUUCGUAUAUAAUAUGAUGGAAACUUUGCAGUAUACUGUACCAAUCAAACCCCGCUAAUUAUUGUAUCCCACUAGUCAUUUAGCCAACCUUUUUAUUUUAUUAACAUGUUGUGUGUAUACUCUAGUAAUUUAAAUUGAAUUAAUACUGAUUUCAUGUGCUGGAACAAUCAUCAUGUUGUUUUUACGGCGUGUAUAAAAAUAUUACAGUUUAUUUAUUGUAGGUGCUUUCACGCACGAUCUAAUAAAAUAAACCGGAUCAAACGCAAUCAACAGCGAUCGUAGAAAUUAAUAGUAGUAUAUGUGUAUUUCAUCAUCGUGCUUAUCCACCUUUAUCUACAUCGCAUUUACAAGAUCUCCAUUAUAAAAAGUAAAUCCACGAUGCAAAAUAUAUAUUAGACGCUAUUUAGCUUUUUAAUUUGUUUAAUCAUGGUAAUAAUUUUACUUGUCGCUAAUCGAGGUUACCCCAUUGUUAAAGAUCAAUUUUUUCCAUAAUAUGUCAGUAUUGUCAGAGUAAAACAUUCAAUGUUUAAAAGUCGAUCUUCGACCCUCAAAUAUCACACUCAUAUGUUACGUAUAUAUAUAUAUCGUGUAGUUCAGAAUAACAUGUAUAGUUCAAAUAUUCUUUAGUGAAUGCACAAAAUGAUGUCAAUUGAUGAGCAACAAAGAUGAUUGCAACAUUUUAUGUAUCGUCCAACAAUCCAUAGUUGCAUAAUAUCUAUUAUACGCACCCCUAGUUUAUGUUAGAUAUUAAAGGGAAAAAACGAAUAGGUAAUCUAAUUAUGUAAAUGUAUAGUUCAGUAAGCAGAAAUGUCAUCACAUAAGAGGAAACAAAAGUUUAACUAAAGUCUUGUCACUUUUCUUGACACAACAUUUUUAUAUAUUUAAGCAACAGUGCAUAGUACAACAUUUUACAAGCAGUUAUAAGUUAUAACCAUGUAAUUACAGUGUUUUGAAUUAAUUCUUGCUUGUUUUGCGGAAGCUAUCAGCUACUACAUCUGCUUUUCUCAUAAUAUAUAGUAUUUGAAGAAAAUUUGUCAUACAGUUUAGUUAGCCAUAUAAUGUUACCAUAGAGUUCAUGAUUUACCGUUGGCUAAUGGUUGAAGUUGACUUUUUGCUAUAAAUGAGUAAAGAAAGUUUUACAGUCUUCAUAUAACUCACAUUUUUAUAACCCAUUUUAUAACCCAUGGUAAACUGCUUAUCUUAGAGCUAGCUAUACAUAGAAAUUUUAUAACUAACCCUCCCCCAAACAAGUCACAAGUAUAUAACUAUGUAUUACAUUCUUUUAUCUGGAAGCAUAUUUUGUUUAAAAAAAAACGAUAGCAAUUUCAACAAAAAAAAAAAUCAUACAAUGUAAUUAAUAUUUUAAUUGCGAAUUAUGUGCUAGUUUAUGGAGUAAGAUCAUUUUACACUUUAUAAAAGAGAGAUACAAUCCCUGAUUUUAGAUUUAACAAGACAAAUUAAUCCUCAGUAAAGUAAACUAGUAAUCCACUGCCACUUAGUUUGAUUAAGUGUUUAUUUCUUUCACCAUUUUCAAGACCGUAUGCUGUUGAGGAUGAAAUAGGAUAAUUGCUAUUCCAUUACUACCCCCAUCAUGUUAUCUUCCUAGGACUCAAACGGCGUCGUCUGGGAUCUUGCAGAUGUGGAGGGAGCUGGAGGACGAGCACGUGAGGGCACGUGAGAGGCUGAGGCAUCAAAGGAGCGUUGAGUCGAAUAAUACUAACCUGUCUAGCUCUGUUGCUUCGGAGAAUAAUGAGAGUGAGAAUGAGUAUGGGUCUUGGUCACGUGAUAGGAAUGAGCACGUGGAUAAUAAUAAUAAUAAUGCUUCUAGUAGAGAACAGUCUCCUGAUCUUGGAGACGGUGAGAGGGAGAGGGAGAGGGUGAGGCAUAUUGUUCGUGGAUGGAUGGACAGUGGGAUUAAUGAUCAUUCAUCUAGUGUAACGCAGAGAGACAAUAAUAAUAACCGUAGAGGGGAGUGGCUAGGUGAUACUGAGCGGGAGAGAGUCAGGGUUAUAAGGGAGUGGAUGCAAGUGACGAGUCAGCAGAGAGGAGGAGGGGGGCGUACAAGUACAACGCCGAGAGAAGAUCAGGGGUCUCUUCUUGUCCCUGAAGCUGACAGGGUGCGUGUAGGGUUAGGUGCUAAUAAUGAGGAAGGGCAACAACCUCAGCAAGUUCGUAGAGACUUGCGGAGACUAAGAGGAAGGCAGGCGUUGCUUGAUUUGCUCACGAGAGCUGAGAGAGAGAGGCAGCGGGAACUUCAGGGCUUGUUGGAGCAUCGUGCAGUG